GUGUGUGCCAGGUUGGUCCAUGCCAACUGCUGAUUGGCGUGAAGGGACUUGUGUAUCCCGUGUCGUGGGUUAUUAUUCUGGUGAGGCGGUGGGAAUUGGCCUUGUGUCUGUUCACCAUGGGGGGCCAGUGUAUCUUUGAGAGCGAGUGUGUGAUUGCAGACAACGGGGUGGAAGAUAGUCGAAGGAAGUGGGGCUGUUUAUGAUAGUUGAAGGAAGUGGGGCUGUUUAUGAUAGUUGAAAUGGGGCUGUGUAUGAUAGUUGAAGUGGGGCUGUGUAUAAUAGUUGAAGGAAGUGGGGCUGUGUAUAAUAGUUGAAGGAAGUGGGGCUGUUUAUGAUAGUUGAAAUGGGGCUGUGUAUGAUAGUUGGAAGUGGGGCUGUGUAUGAUAGUUGAAGGAAGUGGGGCUGUGUAUAAUAGUUGAAGGAAGUGGGGCUGUGUAUGAUAGUUGAAAUGGGGCUGUGUAUGAUAGUUGAAGUGGGACUGUGUAUAAUAGUUGAAGGAAGUGGGGCUGUGUAUAAUAGUUGAAGGAAGUGGGGCUGUGUAUGAUAGUUGAAAUGGGGCUGUGUAUGAUAGUUGAAGUGGGACUGUGUAUAAUAGUUGAAGGAAGUGGGACUGUGUAUAAUAGUUGAAGGAAGUGGGGCUGUUUAUGAUAGUUGAAAUGGGGCUGUGUAUGAUAGUUGAAGGAAGUGGGGCUGUGUAUAAUAGUUGAAGGAAGUGGGGCUGUGUAUAAUAGUUGAAGGAAGUGGGACUGUGUAUGAUAGUUGAAGGAAGUGGGACUGCGUAUGAUAGUUGAAGUGGGACUGUGUAUAAUAGUUGAAGGAAGUGGGGCUGUGUAUGAUAGUUGAAGGAAGUGGGGCUGUGUAUGAUAGUUGAAGGAAGUGGGGCUGUGUAUAAUAGUUGAUGGAAGUGGGGCUGUGUAUAAUAGUUGAUGGAAGUGGGGCUGUGUAUAAUAGUUGAUGGAAGUGGGGCUGUGUAUAACAGUUGAAGGAAGUGGGGCUGUGUAUAAUAGUUGAAGGAAGUGGGGCUGUGUAUAAUAGUUGAAGGAAGUGGGGCUGUGUGUGAUAGUUGAAGGAAGUUGGACUGUGUAUAAUAGUUGAUGGAAGUGGGGCUGUGUAUGAUAGUUGAAGGAAGUGGGGCUGUGUAUAACAGUUGAAGGAAGUGGGGCUGUGUAUAACAGUUGAAGGAAGUUGGACUGUGUAUAAUAGUUGAUGGAAGUGGGGCUGUGUAUGAUAGUUGAAGGAAGUGGGGCUGUGUAUAACAGUUGAAGGAAGUGGGGCUGUGUAUAAUAGUUGAAGGAAGUGGGGCUGUGUAUAAUAGUUGAAGGAAGUGGGGCUGUGUAUAACAGUUGAAGGAAGUGGGGCUGUGUAUAACAGUUGAAGGAAGUGGGACUGUGUAUGAUAGUUGAAGGAAGUGGGGCUGUGUAUGAUAGUUGAAGGAAGUGGGGCUGUGUAUGAUAGUUGAAGGAAGUGGGACUGUGUAUGAUAGUUGAAGGAAGUGGGACUGUGUAUGAUAGUUGAAGGAAGUGGGACUGUGUAUAAUAGUUGAAGGAAGUGGGACUGUGUAUGAUAGUUGAAGUGGGACUGUGUAUAAUAGUUGAAGGAAGUGGGGCUGUGUGUGAUAGUUGAAGGAAGUUGGACUGUGUAUGAUAGUUGAAGGUAGUGGGACUGUGUAUAAUAGUUGAAGGAAGUGGGACUGUGUAUGAUAGUUGAAGUGGGACUGUGUAUAAUAGUUGAAGGAAGUGGGGCUGUGUGUGAUAGUUAAAGGAAGUGGGACUGUGUAUGAUAGUUGAAGUGGGACUGUGUAUAACAGUUGAAGGAAGUGGGACUGUGUAUGAUAGUUGAAGUGAGACUGUGUAUGAUGUGUAUGAUAGUUGACUGUGUAUAAUAGUUUAAGGAAGUGGGGCUCUGGAGAGCCCUGUGGUUGCGGGCGGUGCAGUUGCCGUACCAGGCGAUGAUACAGACAGACAGGAUGCUCCCAAUUGUGCAUCUGUGAAAGUUUGUGAGGGUUUUAGGUGCCACGCCAAAUUUCUUCAGCCUUCUGAGGUUGAAGAGGCGCUGUUGCGCCUUCUUCACCACACUGUAUGUGUGGGUGGACCAUUUCAGUUUGUCAGUGAUGUGUACGCCGAGGAACAUGAAGCAACUGUCCCAGUUUCCACUUCUACUCCACUGUUCAACAGAAUAGUUCCACGGUGGAGAGAGUGACUGACUAAGAGGAUGAGAGAGAGAAUGGAGAGGAGAUAGAGAGAUGGAGAGAGUGAGAGAGAGAGUCAGUCUCUCUCCACUCUCUCUGGUAUUGUUUCAGUAGGUGUAUAUUCUAACAUAGUCAGCCUCAAGCAUCUACAGAUCAGUGGGUGGAACAGCACUCCUACCAAAAUAGAGAGAGAAAGAGAGAGAGUGAAUGAUAGAAAGAG
rnacentral:lncRNA from 1 species